UUUUUAAGAUAAUAAAUUAAAAUAGAACCUGCUCAAUGUUAAAUCAAUAAAUAGCUGCAGAUAUUCUGUACUAAGGUAGCAUAAUCACUAGUCCUUUGAUUGGGGAAUAGAAUGAAUGGUUAAACGAAACAAACACUGUAUCUCACCUUAUAACGAAUUUAAAAUAAAAGUAAAAAUUCUUUUAAAUCAUAGAAAGACGAUAAGACCCUAAUAAACUUAAACAAUUUAACUGGGGCGGUAAAGAAAAAAUACCUUAUAUUAUUAUAAUAACAAAACUUUUAUAAUUAAAAGACAAAGUUACUAUAGGGAUAACAGCGCAACUUUAAUU
rnacentral:rRNA from 1 species